AAUCCUCUCCUGUGUGUGUGGUUGAUGUUAUUCCAUAACUAUUUCGACAGGGUAAUUCCGUAACUAUUUCUGCGAGACACUGGAAGAGAUAAGGGCUGCAGAAGUAAAAAAGGCUAUUUCCUAUCGAAGAUCCUGCUGGAGCCCUGAUCAAGCACCCAAUGUGGAGCAGCUUUUGGCACUUUGUUUUUCAGCAGGACUUCUGGAUCUUAAAUCACAAGCUCCCAUAGCUUCAGUCACAGAAAAGAGACAGGUUGUCUGCUGGUAUCUAUAUUGCAGAAGCAGGUGGUCAACAAAUUACUCAGGGUUUUUAAAUGGUGUUUAAUUAGAAUCACCUGGAAAAAGGGGGCAGCACAUAGAAAAUCUACUUCAUAGAGUUCUAGAGAGGCUUCUGGAAAUGAUACAGUUUUGAAGAUGUUCAUAUUUUUAUGAGGGUAAGCAAGAGGAGAAAGCAAAUUGUUCUUGGCUGCUCCUUUUUAUAAGGAACAAUGCAAGUUCAAAUUGGUCUGUAAGUUUCAGAAACUUUGGGCUUAUUGAGGAGGCUACCUGACCACUCUUCUGGUAAAGCAUUAGUAAAAGUUGAGAAUACAAAAUCUUCCAAAAUGUGCUUGUGUAGACACAUUUCACUUGAGAGACCAAGUUCUUGAAUAUCUGAGGGCAGUUUGAGUUGUAAAGAUUUUAUGUGGCCUCAAGACUGUGAAGGUCUGUACCCUUCCUAGCUGCUGCCUUCAUGAGCUUUUUUGUUUGUUUGUUUGCUUUUUUUUUUUUUUUAAUAGAUUCCUUAUUCUAAACCAUCCCAUGAUCUAGAGUCACGUGGAGAACAGAUGCUGAAUUCUACACCUUUUUUAAUGCCAUGUGCUGAAAAUCCAAUGGUUUCUCCUUUUCAGUUAGAAAUACUGAGAAAACACGGGCCCCUGACAUAAGCUUCCUGGACAUUAUUUCUCCAUUUCAUGUACCUGAAACAGGUACUAAAGCUAUUAUUUCUGGUUUGUAUUCAUGGGCUUUAAAAAUAAACUAUUUUUUAUAUAUUCCAAAUUCCUGAUUGCAGCUAAAAACCGUUUUUUUUUUUUUAGUUAAUAAAUAAUUUCUGACUUCAUUGUAGUAUUUACAGGAACAAUGAAGCCUAAAAUCUUGUUUUGAAUGGAACUUUCGAUUUAAUGGAGGAACAAUGAAUGGUAAAAUUGUGUAUUACAACUAUCACGCAUUUAAAAUUUGAUACGUGAUAGAUGUUGUGAAAACCAUGGAAUUUGGGGCUGCAUAAAAAUGUAUACAUGCUUAUCCAAAAUAAUUACAUCUAUAAGAUUUCUAAUUGGGUCCAGUGACAUAGUACACUUGCAGUUCUUCCCCUACCCUCGCCAAUGUUAGGUCCUUUCACAAGUACUUCUCCUCUUCCCUACUGCUUCUUUGCGGGUGGGUGACCUGCUGGCUUCCUUUCCCUGUCUUAUUUCACCACAGGCACAAUCAAAUCAUCUCAACUGGUGACCCUUCUGACAAGGAACUGCAGAAAUGAAGUUUCUUCAUCCACUUUGAAUUUGGUGCGUGUCCCACAGGGUUAUUUUGGGAUUUCUGAGGUGCAGGGCAAAGAGAAGUAAAUCUGUACAAUUCUGAAAAAGUGCUGCUAAGAAAAGUUCUUAUGAAUAUAUUGCUUUAUUUUGGGAUCAUCUGCAUUUGAAGUACUACAGGCUUAUAUUUUAAGAAGUUUCAUCUUGGUGACCUUUUUCAUUCAGAUCCCAAAAUUAACCCAUAACCCUUCAGUAAAGACUUACCAGGGAAGACCAGUCUAGGUAACAGGAGCCUUUGCCAGCCAGUAAACACUGGCAUCACUCAUUUACUGUAGCUCCAAUUAAUGGUAGUAGAAGUUACACUUGUAAAUUCCCCCACGCAUUAAUGAGCGAACAGACUCCCUCUAUUUAGUUAACCAUCUUCCAGUUACCUGGCACUUUCCCCAUCCCUUGUGAGAUCUCAAAUAUUUAAUUAAAGCCUUUUUUUUUCUUUUUUUUCUUUUUUCUUUCUUUUUUUUUUUUUUUUUCCUCCCCCCACUCUCCUUCAUUCAGUUUGUUGAGUUGUAAUUCUUGUUGGCCUGAUGCCUUGGCAGCAUUCAGCACUUCUAAUUGCCUGUAUAGUCUGGCCUAGUCAUGGAGCCUUUUAACUUUCAUUGAGGCUUCCAGCAGUAUCAGCCUUGCUGGUCACAAGCUUCCCACUCAGGUUCCGUUCACAGCCCUUUCGCUGAUUACUUGUUAUGUAUUUAAAGAGCUCCAUACUGUUUAUUUCAUUUCCUAUUUGAGAUAGUCUGUUUGCUUAAUUUUUUUCUAUGCUAAUUUAAUUUUAAACAUAUAGGGCUGUCUUCCUGGUCAAACAAGCCAGAAUUUUGCAUCCGUAUGUUACAUUAAAUAAUAAUAAUACUAAUACAACAAAUAAUAGUCAAUGCUUUCUACUUCUGUAAUGUCUACCAUUCAACGAUCUCAAAGCAUUCUUAUUUUACAAGUGGUAAAAUGGUGUCAAGAGACAUGAACUACUUGUUAAACAUUAUGUGUGACAUCUGUUACAGAGCCAGACACAGGACUGAGUAGUUUGGUUUCACUAAUAGCAGUUAGUCUAAUAAUUGCAAUAUGCUAUAGGAAUUAUUAGGCUAAAAUAUGCUUCAACUGAACGGGCUGUACCCUUGUAGAGGUAUGUACUGUGGAGACUUGUUUUCAGAAUAUCACGUUUGUUGGUAUAUCAGACACAGAAUGGAAAGGGGAAUCCAAUGGGUAUUGAUGUGGUCGCUGUAAAGGUUAGUAACCUCUGUAAGUAUAAGUCAUGUUGGUUUUAUAGUCAUUAUUAUGAAUCACAAACAGACUGUCUUUAGAGUCUUUACUUUUAAUCAGAAAUAGUCUGGUAUAUUUUGUCUCAUUUUGUAUUCUGUGUGAAGAGCUGUAUUUCAGCAAACCUCUCUCUUACUAUGGCUACAGUAAGUCAUUUAUGUCUCUGCAGAGAUAACGUGCUAAUGUUAGGACUUAUGCUAACAUAAUCUGAUUGUGUCCUCUUUCAAUGUUCAGCAGCAUACAGAGAGCAACUGAAAAUGGUCACUACAAUUUGUGGUUUUUAAAGUUGCUUUUGUCCAGCAGCUAAUCAUGGCUGUAUGUUGUGAUGGCUACCACAACUCUCAUCUGUGACCAAAGUCACAUUCCUUUGUAUGAUCACUCUGAAGUAGUCAAUAGCUGAUUUUUCAAUGCCUGCACUUGGCUUUUAGGUUGUGAAUGCUUAUAUGCAUUGUUAUUACAUAUAUGUCUUCUUCUUCCCAAGGUCAGACAGCAGAAUGCAAGACUGAAGAAGAACUAAUGUGACUGUAUCUGUAGUAUAUGUGAGUGGAGGUCAAGCAAGUAAAAAGAAGGAGAAAUCACUGCUGGCUGGGAAAGGUUCCCUAAUGUGUAGGCUACUUCAGUAAGGAAUGCACUUCAUCUCAAAAGCCUGUUUGACUGUAUUGGAGCUGUGCCAGUUUAUACCAGCUGGUCUCAUGAAAUUGCAAGCCACUCAGGAUCCUGGAUU